CAUUAAAGGAUAGAUUGGCUACUGUGCGGAAUAUAAAUAAUAUUAUAAAUAAGAAAACUGUAAAUGUAGUAGAUGAUAAUAAUAAUAAUAACAAUGAUAAGAAAGACACAGAUGAUAAGAAUGUAAAUGCGAAUAUAGAAAAUGAUAGUAAAAAAACAGAAGCACCUGUUAUCGAAAACAACUUUAGCAAAUUUAAAAAUUAUAAUAGUGUAGUAAAUAAAAAGCAAAAUGAAGAAAUUGAAAAAAAAUUACAAAAAAGAAAAAGAAGAACAAAACAUGAUAUAUUAAUGGAAAAAAUGAAACAAGCAGAAAAAGAAAAAGGGAAACAUAAAGAAUAUGGUUCAAAAAGAAGUGGUAAUGAUGGUGGUAGUCAUAAUUAUGAAGAAGGAGAAGAUGAUGAUGAUGAUGAAGAUGAAGAUGAUGAUGAAGAUGAUGAUGAAGAUGAUGGAGAUCAAUCUGAUGAAAAUGAAAAUGAGAAUGAAAAUGAGAAUGAAAAUGAGAAUGAAAAUGAGAAUGAAAAUGAAAAUGAGAAUGAAAAUGAAAAUGAAAAUGAAAAUGAGAAUGAAAAUGAGAAUGAAAAUGAAAAUGAUGAUAGGGAUAAAGAAGAUGUAGAAAACGAAAACAAUGUUGUCAAACAAAAAAGACGUGGUAGACCACCUAAAAGAUCCACUACUUCUAAAAAAUCAGAAAAUGAUUCUGAAAAAAAUUCACAUGAACAGGGGGAAGAAAACGAAAAAAAUGACGAUUAUGAUAACAGUGAUGAUAAUGAUGACAGAACGAUUAAAAAUAAAUAUGAUAAAAAAAGUUCUUCUCAUGUAUAUUUUAAAACUGGUACAAAUGGUAGUAAUAGUAUGAAUAGAGGUAGAAGAAGCAAAAGUUCCGUACAAUUUAGAAAAAGUAAUGCAAGUGAAAUGAAUGAUGGAAUAGAGAAUCAUGAAGGAGAUAAUAAACCAAAAAGAAAGAGAAGGAAAAAAAAAGAAAUGGAAGCAAUUCGAGCCAAUGCACUAAAAGAAAAGAUACAUCAGCAAAAUUCGUUAAGUAGUAUUUAUAGCAAACAAAACAGUACAAAAAGUAAUAAUGAUCAUAAUAAUACUAGUACUAGUAAUGUAGGGCAUGUUUUGAAUGGACAUGGUGAUAAUACGAUAAAAAAAAAAAGGGGAAGAAGACCCAAAGUGCUUGGAAAUGCAGUUACUACUAACACUAGUAAUAAUAAUAUUGUAAAUCGUAAGAGUAAACAAAUUGAUAUACGAAAGUAUUAUAGUAAAGGUAAUGGUAAUGAUGAUGAAACUAGGAAAAGAAGUAAUAGUGCAACGAAUGACAAAAAUAAAGAAAGAGGAGAUGAACAAGUUGAAGAUAAAUCUGUAUAUAGAAUAAUAAAAAAAACCAAACAAGAUGUUCCUACUUUUAUGAAAGUUUCACCUAAUGAAAUAACAAAUUUAGAAAAGGCUUAUAAAAAUAAUAUUAAAAAAGGUGUUACAUGUAUACCUUUAAAUUAUCAAAGUAAAGGAGGAGGAAUGGCAAUAAUUUUAAUCGAUGCUGAAACUACAUAUGGUCCUGUAAAAAAUGUACAUGGUUUUAUGACUUUUCUUGUCUUAGGUUGCGAUUUAAAAAAAUUAUUAAUUGACACUGGAAAAAGUAAUAAUAUUAUAGAAUGUGAAAAACAUAUGCAAUUGUUAAUAUGUCCUGGAGAUAUGUAUAUGUUUAAAAACGAUAGCCAGGACACAGAAGCAAGAUUGUUGUUGAUUGUUUGUAAUAAAAUGAGUCAACCAUUUGAUGCAAAGUUGCAUAUAAAGGACCCAGCGAUGAAUAUGCAAAAGUAAAAAAAAAAAAAAAAAAAAAGAACA
rnacentral:lncRNA from 1 species